ensembl:lncRNA
UUUUUUUUUUUUUUUUUUUUGGAUGAGUUGCUGGAAGCCCCAACACAAUGGUUUGGGAAUAAAUGAAAGUGAGGAAUGGAGAAGUAAGGAGGUACCACUCUCAAGGAGGCUGGCAGUAGAGGGGACAAAUAGUGUGAGAGAGGAACAGAAGAACCAAGCAGGAAACUGGAAGAGGUUGGUAGAUGAGGUUAAGAAUCUGAUGAAGAGGCCGGGCGCGGUGGCUCAAGCCUAUAAUCCCAGCACUUUGGGAGGCCGAGACGGGCGGAUCACGAGGUCAAGAAAUCGAGACCAUCCUGGCUAACACGGUGAAACCCCGUCUCUACUAAAAAUACAAAAACUAGCCGGAGGUGGUGAAGCCUGUAGUCCCAGCUACUCGGGAGGCAGAGCUUGCAGUGAGCUGAGAUCCGGCCACUGCACUCCAGCCUGGGCUACAGAGCGAGACUCCGUCUCAAAAAAAAAAAAAAAGAAUCUGAUGAAGAGAGAAAGAAUGAAGAGUGAGUGAGAAAGGGUCAAUGGCCCUGGUAUAAGAAGAGGCAGAAAGGACUGGCGAGCACAAGGGCUUAGGAGGAGCCCGUAAGUCUCAGAAGCAGGGGGAAGAGGUAAAGAUGAGUGAGGAUGGCAGCAAGGUGGUGGGAGGAAAAUGGAUGCAGAGCUCCCAGAUCAUAGUCCCUGUUUCCUCUAUGAACCAAGAAAAUAGGUAAUGGCUGAAGGGUCUGGGCUGACCGGUGGAGUAAGUAACAUUUAGAUGCUUGUGCUGUGAGUUGCUGCCUCCUCUGGGGUGGGGCAGGGAAGAGCCAGUGUCAGGGGUGAGUGGAGUAGAAAAUUGACUUGAAGGGCACAGGGACACUUCCAAGGAAGCGAGGUACCCUCUUCCAGAGUCACCUUGAUGCUCUGUCGCAUCCUUUCUCCUAGCAUCUGUAACUUCUUUGUUUUUUCUUGUUCACUUGCUGCUUUCAACUCUAACUUAAGCCCAGUUCCUAUUAUUGGCCCCCUUAGAGGAACAGUGAAAACAUUCAUUGUUCUAAUACAGGAAUCCCUCUGCUGUUCCUUCUUCCUUAUUAUGAAUGGCAACAGUUACAGAGCUUCCAACAGGUGGAGGCCAAAAACCAAACAGACUUUUCAAUGUUGACUCUCUCGGGCUGCAUACAGAAUGGCAGCUCUGCCCCACCGCCCGGAGCCUCGCCAACAAAGGCCAAAUCAAACAGCGGCCCGGAACAGAGGGCUAGCGAGCGCUGCAGAGCCAGCAAACACCAAAGGGAAAUCACCCUGGAUCCAUAUCUUCCAUCCUUUGCCUCUGUGAGCAUGUUUGGGGAGGAGACAUCUAUGAGAUUGCAGGAGCCAAUUCAGGCUACAUGCUUAUAGCUGCAAUGGAAAAAUUAGGCUAGAAUUCAGGGCCUCCCUGAGGAUAUUUCUGAAAAUCAUGUACUUCCUUUAAGGGAUUUACAAAUCUGGAGUCCUUCCAAAACAGGACAAGUAAGACAUGAGCAGGAAGUUUCUACUCUCCAUCCAGCAGCCAAGAAUAGACUUCGUCAUUCAGAUGGGGCCACAGAGGUACAGACCUGAGAGAGCUGGAAGUCACAGAGCCAAUCCCAUGUAUUACCGAUGAGGUAACUAUGGCUCAGGGUGACUUGACCUAUAAGCCACAAGCUUGUGGGUGACCACUGCACGCCCUGAAUGGAGGAUUUAAUUCCAUCCCCCUGCCCCACAAGUAGCCUCUGAGAGACAGCGUACCUGAUGCCACCUUAUGUGGGAUUGUUGUGCUGUCACAAAUUUCUGAAUCCCCUAUUUGUGGAAUAGAGAAAUCAAAGCCACCAGAUAUUCAAGGGUAUCCACUAAAGAAGCCACGUUGUUACUUCAGCUAAAAAUAACCUAAAGGCCUAACAGUGAAUUACCAUUUAUCUAAUCAUCUGGGAAUGAUGAAAUUAAUGUUUCGUAUCUACUAUUUUGCAGUUAUAAAUUGCUUAGAAAGUAUAGAUUUUUUCCUGCAUAAUUCCGCUUUCCCAUGAGUGCACAUGCAUACACACAAGACCCAACCACAGUAUCUUGACCAUGAAUAUAAUAAAUAAGGAAAUAACAAAUGUAGUCAGGUGAAGCAAGGGGUUCUGUUAGCACAAGAAUGUUCUAGGCCUAGUGUUUGGUGGAGCCAACCAGCUCCUACAAGCCAGUGAAAACUAAGGAAAGUGCCUGGCAGUUUCAUUAUGGAGUGCUUUCCAAUAACCUAAUUCCUCCACCAUCAAAAGUUGGUCAGGGAACAUCACCAUUUUUAGAAAGAUGCUUUGUUUUGAUAAAACAACCCUUCUGUAUUAGUCUGUUCUCAUGCUGCUGAUAAAGACUCACCUGAGACUGGGUAAUUUAUAAAGGAAAAGAGGUUUAGUGGACUCACAGUUCCAUGCGGCCGGGGAGGCCUCACGAUCAUGGCAGAAAGCAAAAGGCACAUCUUAUAUGGUGGCAGAUAAGAGAGAGCUUGGGCAGGGAAACUCCCCUUUAUCAAACCAUCAAAUCUUGUGAGACUUAUUCACUAUCAUGAGAACAGCACAGGAAAGACCUGCCCCCAUGAUUCAAUUACCUUCCACCAGGUGCCUCCCAUGACACAUGGGAAUUGUGGGAGCUACAAUUCAAGAUGAGAUUUGAGUGGGGUCACAGUCAAACCGUAUCACCUUCUAAGCUUAUGUCUCACUACUUACCCAAAAAUAGGCUGUAAAGGGCCCAGCAUUUGCUUUCUAGCAACUGCUGUUGUCAUACUACCAUUGCUUUCCCUGCCUGCAGGGCCCUCCAUGCAUCUCUGUUUAAAGUCUAAAGCCGGAUCCAGCUCUCAUGCUGCCUUCUGCAGAAAGACACCUCUGGUGUUUGUCAGCCAGAGGAGCCUCCCCACCUCUCGACUCCUGGCCACUUCUCUUAAAAACAUGACCAAUGAUGCCAAAAGUCUAAUUCAUGUGUAGAGUUGGUGUUGUAGAGUAGAAGGGGAUUGAGAGGUAGAGACUAAGUAACUACUUAGCUUUGAACAUGUCAGGAAGUUUCUCUGUUCUUCAGCUUCCUAAUCUGUAAAAUGUAGUUAGGGACAGGACCUACCUGAUGAGGUUGUUGCAAGAAGUAAAUGAAAUAAUUCACCCAGGCGCAGUGGCUCACGCCUGUAAUCCCAGCACUUUGGGAGGCCAAGACGGGCAGAUCACGAGGUCAGGAGAUCGAGACCAUCCUGGCUAACACGGUGAAACCCUGUCUCUACUAAAAAUACAAAAUAUUAGCUGGGCGUGGUGGCGGGCGCCUGUGGUCCCAGCUACACGGGAGGGUGAGGAGGGAGAAUGGCAUGAACCGGGGGGCAGAGCUUGCAGUGAGUGGAGAUUGCGCCACUGCACUCCAGCCUGGGAGACAGAGCGAGACUCCGUCUCAAAAAAAAAAGAAAUAAUUCAUGUAAAAAGCAACUAGUACAGUGCCUGGUACAUAGUCAAGGCUUACAAUGUCAGGAAAGAAAAAUGGAAGGGAGGGAGGGAGGAGAGGAAGAGGGAAAAGCAAAGCAAAGAGAAUAAGACCAGGCUGGCCAACACAGUGACACCCCAUCUCUACAAAAAGCCAGGCACGGUGGCUGAUAUGGUUUGGAUUUGUGUCCCUGCCCACAUCUCAUGUUGACUUGUAAUCCCUAAUGUUGGAGGAGGGGCCUGGUGGAAGGUGACUGGAUCAUGGGGGAGGAUUUUCCCCCUUGCUAUUCUUGUGAUAGUGAGUGAGUUCUCGCAAGAUCUGGUUGUUUACAAGUUGAUAUGGUUUGGUUGUAUCCCCACUCAAAUCUCAACUUGAACUGUAUCUCCCAGAAUUCCCACAUGUUGUGGGAGGCACCCAGGGGGAGGUAGUUGAAUCAUGGGGGCCAGUGUUUCCCGUGCUAUUAUCAUGAUGGUAAGUCUCACAAGAUCUGAUGGGUUUAUCAGGGGUUUCUGCUUCUGCUUCUCUCUCAAUUUUUCCUGCCACACCAUGUAAGAAGUGCCUUUCACCUCCUACCAUGAUUCUGAGGCCUC